AUAUCAGUCAUGCAUAGCAUAUCAAUAAGCGGAGGAAAAGAAACUAACAAGGGAUUCCCCUAGUAACGGCGAGUGAAGCGGGAAGAGCUCAAAUUUGAAAUCUUAAAGGGUUUCCCUUUACGAAUUGUAGUUUAAAGAAGUGUUUUCUGUUGAGGUUUUGGUAAAAGUUCUUUGGAAUAGGACAUCAUAGAGGGUGAGAAUCCCGUAUUUGACCUUUACUUUCAACUUUGUGAUACACUUUCAAAGAGUCGGAUUGUUUGGGAAUGCAGUCCAAAAUGGGUGGUAAAUUUCAUCUAAAGCUAAAUAUUGGCGAGAGACCGAUAGCGAACAAGUACCGUGAGGGAAAGAUGAAAGGAACUUUGAAAAGAGAGUUAAACAGUACGUGAAAUUGUCAAAAGGGAAGCGUUUGACACCAGUGUUGUUUUUCUGAAAAUCAAUUAAAGAACUGUUUAUGCUAAGUUGUUUAGACUUUAUCAGCUAACUGUUUAGUUUUGAGCUUUUCUUUAAUGCACUUUUCAGUUAACAAGUCAACAUCAAUUUCUUUUGCUGUAAAAAAGCUUGAGGAAGGUGGCUUGAGAUUCGUCUUAAGUGUUUAUAGCCUCUUGCCUAUGCAGUCGGAGAGAUUGAGGUCUGCAGCGUAGAUCCUUCGGGGCUAAAUGCAUUUGUGCUAAGUUAUAGCAUUUUAUAGACAACUUGUUGACUAUGAUUUGUCUUGUAGCUUACUCGCUUAUGUUAUUUUACCUACGCUUAGGAUGUUGACGCGCGUGUGUGCGUG
rnacentral:rRNA from 1 species